rnacentral:rRNA from 1 species
UACGAAGGGUGCAAGCGUUACUCGGAAUUACUGGGCGUAAAGGGCUCGUAGGCGGCCAACUAAGUCAGACGUGAAAUCCCUCGGCUUAACCGGGGAACUGCGUCUGAUACUGGAUGGCUUGAGAUUGGGAGAGGGAUGCGGAAUUCCAGGUGUAGCAGUGAAAUGCGUAGAUAUCUGGAGGAAUACCGGUGGCGAAGGCGGCAUCCUGGACCGACAUUGACGCUGAGGAGCGAAAGCUAGGGGAGCAAACGGGG